AGAGUUUGAUCCUGGCUCAGAGCGAACGCUGGCGGCGUGCUUAACACAUGCAAGUCGAGUGCGCGCCUGUAGCAAUACAGGUGGCGCACGGCGCACGGGUGCGUAACACGUGGGUAAUCUGCCCUUCGAAGGGGAAUAACUCGCCGAAAGGCGAGCUAAUUCCGCAUAACAUUCCGAGGACUUUGGUUUUCGGAUUCAAAGGCGUAAGUCGUCGGAGGAGGAGCCCGCGCACGAUUAGCUAGUUGGUGAGGUAACGGCUCACCAAGGCUAUGAUCGUUAGCUGGUCUGAGAGGAUGGCCAGCCACACUGGAACUGAGACACGGUCCAGACUCCUACGGGAGGCAGCAGUGGGGAAUCUUGCACAAUGGGCGAAAGCCUGAUGCAGCGACGCCGCGUGGGGGAUGAAGCUUCUCGGAGUGUAAACCCCUUUCGACCCGGACGAAAACCUCGCAAGAGGAUUGACGGUACGGGUAUAAGAAGCCCCGGCUAACUACGUGCCAGCAGCCGCGGUAAGACGUAGGGGGCCAGCGUUGCUCGGAAUUACUGGGUGUAAAGGGUUCGUAGGCGGUGUGGCAAGUCGGGAGUGAAAUCUCUGGGCUCAACCCAGAGUCUGCUUCCGAAACUGCUGUGCUUGAGUGUGGGAGAGGCGCGUGGAAUUGCAGGUGUAGCGGUGAAAUGCGUAGAUAUCUGCAGGAACACCCGUGGCGAAAGCGGCGCGCUGGACCACUACUGACGCUGAGGAACGAAAGCUAGGGGAGCAAACAGGAUUAGAUACCCUAGUAGUCC
rnacentral:rRNA from 1 species